UGGGGGAUCGUCUAAUGGCAGGACUGCAGACUUUGGAUCUGCCUGUGAAAGUUCGAAUCUUUCUCCCCCAG
rnacentral:tRNA from 1 species